GGAUUAGAUACCCUGGUAGUCCACGCCGUAAACGAUGAGUGCUAGAUGUCGGGCAGCAUGCUGUUCGGUGUCGCAGCUAACGCAUUAAGCACUCCGCCUGGGAAGUACGGCCGCAAGGUUAAAACUCAAAGGAAUUGACGGGGGCCCGCACAAGCGGUGGAGCAUGUGGUUUAAUUCGAUGCAACGCGCAGAACCUUACCAGCCCUUGACAUCCCGGUCGCGGUUUGUGGAGACACUUACCUUCAGUUAGGCUGGACCGGAGACAGGUGUUGCAUGGCUGUCGUCAGCUCGUGCUG
rnacentral:rRNA from 1 species